AGUGAACGCUGGCGGUAGGCCUAACACAUGCAAGUCGAACGGCAGCACAGUAAGAGCUUGCUCUUACGGGUGGCGAGUGGCGGACGGGUGAGGAAUACAUCGGAAUCUACUUUUUCGUGGGGGAUAACGUAGGGAAACUUACGCUAAUACCGCAUACGACCUACGGGGGAAAGCAGGGGAUCUUCGGACCUUGCGCGAUUGAAUGAGCCGAUGUCGGAUUAGCUAGUUGGCGGGGUAAAGGCCCACCAAGGCGACGAUCCGUAGCUGGUCUGAGAGGAUGAUCAGCCACACUGGAACUGAGACACGGUCCAGACUCCUACGGGAGGCAGCAGUGGGGAAUGUUGGACAAUGGGCGCAAGCCUGAUCCAGCCAUACCGCGUGGGUGAAGAAGGCCUUCGGGUUGUAAAGCCCUUUUGUUGGGAAAGAAAAGCAGCAGGUUAAUACCCCGCUGUUCUGACGGUACCCAAAGAAUAAGCACCGGCUAACUUCGUG
rnacentral:rRNA from 1 species